rnacentral:rRNA from 1 species
CACGUAGUUAGCCGGGGCUUCUUAGUCAGGUACCGUCAUUAUCUUCCCUGCUGAUAGAGCUUUACAUACCGAAAUACUUCUUCGCUCACGCGGCGUCGCUGCAUCAGGGUUUCCCCCAUUGUGCAAUAUUCCCCACUGCUGCCUCCCGUAGGAGUUUGGGCCGUGUCUCAGUCCCAAUGUGGCCGAUCGCCCUCUCAGGCCGGCUACUGAUCGUCGGUUUGGUGGGCCGUUACCCCGCCAACUGCCUAAUCAGACGCGGGCCCAUCCCAUACCACCGGAGUUUUUCACACCGAGCCAUGCAGCUCUGUGCGCUUAUGCGGUAUUAGCAGCCGUUUCCAGCUGUUACUCCCCCGGUAUGGGGCAGGUCACCCACGCGUUACUCACCCGUCGCCGCUCAGUCAGUUAAGAAUCAUCCGAAGAAUCUUCUUAACUGCUUCGCUCGACUUGCAUGUGUUAAGCACGCCGCCAGCGUUCACUCCGUGACGCCGAGGACUACAAACUU